GACGAACCGUGCGAACGUUAUUCGGAAUCACUGGGCUUAAAGGGCGCGUAGGCGGGUCCUCAAGUCCGGGGUGAAAUCCCACGGCCCAACCGUGGAAGUGCCUUGGAUACUGAGGACCUCGAGGGGGAUAGGGGCGUGCGGAACUCAGGGUGGAGCGGUGAAAUGCGUAGAUAUCCUGAGGAACACCGGUGGCGAAAGCGGCGCGCUGGAUCCCUUCUGACGCUGAGGCGCGAAAGCCAGGGGAGCAAACGGG
rnacentral:rRNA from 1 species